ensembl:lncRNA
GACACUUUGUGAUGAAAAUGUUUGUUCCAAACGGCUUGUUCAAAUGCAAGAAACAAGUUUAUUUGAUAUUAAAAAUAUAAAUUGUGACAAGACUGGCUGUCAGUCUGUGUGUUAGUGUUGUGGGGAUUUUUUAACGAUUUCAGUGCAGUUUACAUAGUUACGUCUAGUAGGUGUCGGCAAGGGACUGUUAUGAGUGAGUCUGUCAGUCAGCAGACAAUUCGAGACAGGGGUAGCUGCAGCCUGGAGCAAUGGGCGUGCCGAAAGGGAGGCGCGUGCCAAAAGGUUUCUCUUUGAUGAAAGGAGUUUUACUGUUUUGGUCAAUCAGCGGUAAAUAUACAUUUACGUAAUUUCUUUUAGACAAGAGAAGGUGGCGGCGAUAAGACGUGAGGUAAUUAUUCAUCAUACGUUUAUAUAGAUAAACUUUAUAUACCACAAAUAUGUAUAUUAAGAUAAGUUUGUUACAAUACGAUCAUAUUUUUUUCCUUUGCGUUAUAUCUUGCAGCUUUAGUAAUUGGUUUAUUGUUGUUGACAGACAUACUGUAUGUACAGUGAGACAAAACGAUGACCGCAUCUGCAUCGAAGGCGAAGCUCUCAGAGCUGAUAGUUUGUAUCGGCGUCCUUUUUAAGAAUGUCUCUGAACAGAUGAAAUACAGUACAGAAUACAUCCUCACCUUGUUCUUUACUGUCAAAGACCACACGGCACGAACAUUCUCCAGGAGACGUGGAGAAAGCAUGGAAGGAAUGUCUGUGGAGGAUGUAAAACACCCAUUCUUAAGGACACCUGCUGGAUUUUUAUGUAGGGGGACCCUGCUACACCCUUUCCUACCAUACAGCUGAUGGAUACUGACUGUAAAAUGGCAAUCAUAGGAAGAGGGCUCAGUGUGGUGACAGAAGAUGGAAUAGACGUGUGCCAGUGCACCAGCCUUGAUGAAGCCUUCAUAACA